UACGUAGGCAGCAAGCGUUGUUCGGAGUUACUGGGCGUAAAGGGUGCGUAGGCGGUCCUAUAAGUAUGGUGUGAAAUCUCCCGGCUUAACUGGGAGGGUGCGCUAUAGACUGUGGGACUAGAGUGUGGGAGAGGAAAGUGGAAUUCCUGGUGUAGCGGUGAAAUGCGUAGAUAUCAGGAGGAACACCGGUGGUGUAAACGGCUUUCUGGACCAUAACUGACGCUGAGGCACGAAAGCGUGGGUAGCAAACAG
rnacentral:rRNA from 1 species